GGCUGCUCGGUUCGAAGUGACUGCUGCGCCCACUCCCUCUGGCUGUGGGGCCGCCCCCUCCCCACUCCCGCCCCUUUCCCCCGGACUGCCGUUCCAGCAGCCAAUCAGGAACUCCGGCGCUCGUCUGUUGGCUGUCACUCAGCUGUCAACCUUCAAUCAACAGUCCAGUGGCCGCGGAUGCCCACCUGUCAGCCUGUCAGUGGGCAAGCAGAGAGGUGCCAGGACCAGUCAGGUUCAACAUAUUUCCUCUAAAGCUCCGCCAGAGAGCCCUGGGUCAUGCCCCGCCCUGGAGCCUGGCAUCCCCGGGCAGGUAAACGCACAUCUGAAACACCUUCGGUCCCCACCCAUGCAGAGGACACCAACUCAUUCCCAAGGCCCUCAAGAUACCCCUCCUUCUAAAGCAGGCUGGUUAGGAGGGGGAAGAUUGAAGACAGAAAAGAAGAGGCACAGCAUGCGCAAGGGAAGAUGUGGGGUUACGUCACAGGACUGCACAAAAGCCUGAGCCUAUGAGACUUCACUUGCCAACAACAGGACCUAACACUAGCAGGUGCUUCUGUUCCCCAGCUGCUCUGAGUGUUGACCGCUGCCUUCCCCAGACAACCGCCCUCAUCCAAGGGAUGCUGCCUCACCUGGGAGGUUACGAGACCCCUUGCGCCCUACCCACCCCGCAGGCUGAUGUGAUGGCUGAUACAGAGACACAAAAAGUUGGCCUCCAUUUGUGAGCUAUCACUAUGGUGUGAUUUAGAUUCUAGAGCGUGCAUACACACAAGCACACACGAGAGCCAUUUUACUGUGGCGAAAUCCUCGGCCCCUCCCCUCCCCUGUUGGGCACCCUUCCCUCGACUCCGCCCAGAGACUCCUGUGUACCCCGCUCAGGGACUCAGCCUAAGAUAAUAACAUUUUACCUGAGCUUGAAAAACUAUCCUCAAUAUCUAGCAUUUCUCCCUCUUACACUUGAGGAUGGAAAUAGCGGUGGGGAAGACUAAACUCUCCCCGGUGCUCCUCUUCCACUGUCCCUGUGGCUCAGCUCCCUGAGAGUACUUUCCAGGCCACAGUGCACACCCUUUUGUGCCGCUUCACACUUCUCCUGUCCUUGAGGCCAUUUUUAGUUACUAUAACAAAAUACCCAAAGCCAGAUCCUUUAUAAAGCCAAGAGGUGUGUGGCCCACAAAAACUUGCUUUCUUCUAAAAUGGAAUGCUAUACGCCCAUUAAAAAUGAACAGUAUAAAAGCUACCUGCAGU